UACGUAGGGUGCGAGCGUUGUCCGGAAUUAUUGGGCGUAAAGAGCUCGUAGGCGGUCUGUCGCGUCGGCUGUGAAAUCCCGAGGCUCAACCUCGGGUCUGCAGUCGAUACGGGCAAACUGGAGUGUUGCAGGGGAGACUGGAAUUCCUGGUGUAGCGGUGGAAUGCGCAGAUAUCAGGAGGACACCGUGGCGAAGGCGGGUCUCUGGGCCGACAUUGACGCUGAGGAGCGAAAGCGUGGGGAGCGAACAGG
rnacentral:rRNA from 1 species